ensembl:snRNA U6 U6 spliceosomal RNA
GUGCUUCCUUCAGCUGCACAUAUACUAAAACUGGACCAAUACACAGAAGAUUGGCAUGGUCCCUGUGCAAGGAUGACAUGCAAGUUCAUGAAGCAUUCCAUGUUCAA